rnacentral:rRNA from 1 species
UACGGGGGGGGGCAAGCGUUGUUCGGAAUUACUGGACGUAAAGGGUUCGUAGGUGGCCCGCUAAGUCAGACGUGAAAUCCCCUCAGCUCAACUGGGGAACUGCGUCCGAUACUGGCAGGCUUGAAUUCGGGAGAGGGAUGCGGAAUUCCCGGUGUAGCGGUGAAAUGCGUAGAUAUCUGGAGGAACACCGGUGGCGAAGGCGGCAUCCUGGACCAACACUGACGCUGAGGAGCGAAAGCCAGGGGAGCAAACGGG